rnacentral:rRNA from 1 species
UGGGGAAUAUUGCACAAUGGGCGAAAGCCUGAUGCAGCGACGCCGCGUGAGGGAUGACGGCCUUCGGGUUGUAAACCUCUUUCAGCAGGGACGAAGCGCAAGUGACGGUACCUGCAGAAGAAGCACCGGCUAACUACGUGCCAGCAGCCGCGGUAAUACGUAGGGUGCAAGCGUUGUCCGGAAUUACUGGGCGUAAAGAGUUCGUAGGCGGUUUGUUGCGUCGUUUGUGAAAACCAGCAGAUCAACUGCUGGCUUGCAGGCGAUACGGGCAGACUUGAGUACUGCAGGGGGGACUGGAAUUCCUGGUGUAGCGGUGAAAUGCGCAGAUAUCAGGAGGAACACCGGUGGCGAAGGCGGGUCUCUGGGCAGUAACUGACGCUGAGGAACGAAAGCGUGGGUAGCGAACAGG